rnacentral:lncRNA from 1 species
CCACACAGGCGCACCCACAGGCACCAGAGCUGCCCCUCAGCCAGGCUCCGGAAGCCUCCUCCUCCCUCUUGUGUCUGAGCACUGGGGAGGGGGCUAGGAACCGAGUCCAGGAGGCCUCAGGAAAAGAAGGGGAAGGGACCGAGCCGGACUCCACAGCAUUUGCUUGGCACCCGCUGUGUACGCAGAGUGCCGGAGAAGUUGGGCGUUGAUGGGGGAGACUCGGGCAGAGGACGCGCACCCUCCCUGGCCCACUCACAGGCCCCUGGAGGGGCCCCCACAACAGCCCCCCAGCCACCCCCAACCUGGCCUCCAGCAUCUCUCUCUGCCGAGUCCUUGCCUCUCCCCCGAGGAGAGCGGAGCCUCCAAUCAGGGCCUGGGAAAGCAAUUUUUCAAUCUCCAACUGCAAACACUAAUACCGCUGAAGCUAAUUUUACAGAUUUCCACUUCGAGGCCUUGCCUUUGUCCCAGAAUCCCUCAGCCCGGGAGAUUAGCAGUUUAGAGACUGGAAAAAAUAAGGGAGACGUCAAAGCCGCCAGGACCAGUCAAAGUAAUAUGCCUGCGACCGGCACAUGGACUUUUAUUUCUUCUCCCUCCACGCUCCAGAGCUGCUCCUGCGGCGUGGAGAGAUAAAUAUUUUAAAUAGCGACACUUUGGCGAUGCACGGUUAUGCAAGACAAGGAAUAAUUAGAAAAUAAAUUACUUUUUUUAAACACAGCGUUACAAACAUCGGGUGCAUCAGAUUACUGUUCUCUGCAGGCCAGGGCCACACGGCUCAGGGAGGCCAGCGCAACAAGGACCUCAGGGAGCAAGCACACACCAGCCUGUCCCCACAGCCCCCAGAUGGUGACACCCCUCCCGCCUGCUCUGGGAGGCUCCCAGAAUCGAGCUGAAGACCACACUUGGCAGCUUCCAGAAGAUCUCAGCGAUGGAAAGGCUUCCUCCGGCGUCUCACCAGCAGUAGCGCAGACUAAAAAUAGUUUAAUCUCCUUGAAAGCAAAAGGAGCAAUCAGCAAAACAGACACUUGGGCCCACAUGCUCCCCCCAUUCCUCUCCUCGUUCUGCCCCCAUCCAUCCAAGCUGUCCCCAGCUAUGCAUUGUCAACUUCUACCCAUCCCAGGAUAGUGCCCCACAGCCUCUGAGGAGGGCAGCUAUUGCCCAUCGUCCAGGACUCCUCAUGUCUGCAGCCCUACAUAUACACAGCAUGUGUCCUUUAAACCUUGUGACACCCCAGAAGGGAGGCAAGACAGGAAAUGUUAGCCCUGUUUUACAGAUGAAGAAACUGAGGCAUAGAGAAGUGGAGUCAUUUGCCUGAGGCUAGCAAUGGUAGACAAGGGCUGUGUGCAAAUGGAGGGGCUCAGCCUCUGCAGAAAGGAGGUAGGUAGCUUUUAAUUAGCACCUA